rnacentral:rRNA from 1 species
CGCGUAGGUGGUUUGUUAAGUUGGAUGUGAAAGCCCCGGGCUCAACCUGGGAACUGCAUCCAAAACUGGCAAGCUAGAGUACGGUAGAGGGUGGUGGAAUUUCCUGUGUAGCGGUGAAAUGCGUAGAUAUGGGGAGGAACACCAGUGGCGAAGGCGGCUUUCUGGACGAUGUCUGACACUGAGGCGCGAAAGCCAGGGGAGCGAACG